AGGGACAACAUGGAGGGUGAAAUUCCCGUCUUUGGCCAGAGCAUAGUCCUACGUUUGCUUGGGAGUGAAGAGUCAGGUUGUUUGGUAUUGCAGCCUAAAGCUGGAGGUAAAUCUCUCCUAAAGCUAAAUAUUGACGAAAGACCGAUAGCGAACAAGUACCGUGAGGGAAAGAUGAAAAGCACCUUGAAAAGGGGGUCAAAAAGUACGUGAAAUUGCUGAAAGGGAACCGUAUGAAAUCAGCUUGUCCCCUUGGUAAUCAGCCUGAGCUUCGGUUUGGGUGCACUUGCCAUUGGGUCAGCCUGCGACAAUUUGAUUUGGGGGAAAAAAUCAUUGGGAAUGUGGCCUUGGCUUCGGUCAAGGUGUUAUAGCCCUUUGAAAAAUACCCUGGGUUGGAUUGAGGACUGCAGCAAGCCCGUAAGGGUAAAGACUGUGGGCGCUUUGUUUUGGCCGGGAGGAAAUCUCUACUUCGGGUAGUGUUCUUUCGGUUGGGGCCAACUCGCCUGCUUUUCUUUUUUUCUUGCUUAGGUCGUAGGCAUAAUGAUUUUAUAUGACCCGUCUUGAAACACGGACCAAGGAGUCCACCAUAAUUGCGAGUCUUUGGGUGUAAAAACUCAUGGGCGAAAGGAAACUGACCAAGAUAUGAAGGCUUCGGCCGGCAAUAUCCUCCAGCGAGGACGUUUUUAUACUGAAUUGACUGAGAGAAAGCAAUUAUGAUGGGACCCGAAAGAUGGUGAACUAUACUUGAAUAGGGUGAAGCCAGAGGAAACUCUGGUGGAAGCUCGUAGCGAUUCUGACGUGCAAAUCGAUCGUCAAAUUUGAGUAUAGGGGCGAAAGACUAAUCGAACCAUC
rnacentral:rRNA from 1 species